CCAGUCACUGCUUUUAAUAAACUCUUUGGCUACAAAGAUGAAACAGGCAGACAACAGCAACAAAGAAGAUAUUAUUAACAUAAUUUCAUGUAAUUGGAUAGAAGGGUAAUAUUUAUUUUAAUAUUACAGAGGAAAUAUCCCACAAUGCAGACCCUGGAUUAAUUCUUUAUAUCUUUAGACUGCACUUAUCAAAUAAAAUUGUACUUAUGGAAAAAGCAAACACAUAAAUCUUGCCUCAUUGUUGGCGGGCAACCCUAGCAAGGGCUAAUUGUAUUAUAUAUCUUCUGCAGCUCUGCCUAGUGUUUGCCAGGAGGAAAAAGAAAGACCCCCAAUGAGUGUGACCUACAAGAGUCUUCCAUGAAGAUCAACAUCUAAGUUUCCCUUGAGAGACACCAAAUCAAAUCUCAAGGAGUGGCCUCCGGAACACCAUUAGGAUGAAGUGAGCCAUUUAACCCUAUGGACUAACCCACCCAAGAGCUUACAGGAGGAGAAGCAGAGCUGGCAAUUCUCAGACAUUAAGACACUCAGCUGCCUACACUCAAGCUCCUUCGAGGUCAGAGAAAGCUAUGUUGCAGAAAAAGAACGUGAGUCCAAAUUAGCAAUUUGGCAGCAUUCUUCAAAAAGAAAAAUGUAACCUCAGGACUUUCCCAGUGCUCUCAAUUCAGUCUGCCAGGACGUGUCAAUGGAUUGUAGUCUUAUUUGUACCCAGGGCAAGGGACGUCACUCCCCACAGCUUCCCCUUUCCUUGCAUAUAUAUAAAAAUUAAGGAAAUUUUUUUUCCAUCUUCAAUUUUGUGUGUGGGGGGCUGGGGGGUGGGGCACGUCUCUCUCUGGCUAAUUGCUGAUUUUCUCUUAGCCCAAGG
rnacentral:lncRNA from 1 species